rnacentral:rRNA from 1 species
CGUACACUCCUGCGGGAGGCAGCAGUGGGGAAUUUUGGACAAUGGGCGAAAGCCUGAUCCAGCCAUGCCGCGUGCAGGAUGAAGGCCUUCGGGUUGUAAACUGCUUUUGUACGGAACGAAACGGCCUUUUCUAAUAAAGAGGGCUAAUGACGGUACCGUAAGAAUAAGCACCGGCUAACUACGUGCCAGCAGCCGCGGUAAUACGUAGGGUGCAAGCGUUAAUCGGAAUUACUGGGCGUAAAGCGUGCGCAGGCGGUUAUGUAAGACAGUUGUGAAAUCCCCGGGCUCAACCUGGGAACUGCAUCUGUGACUGCAUAGCUAGAGUACGGUAGAGGGGGAUGGAAUUCCGCGUGUAGCAGUGAAAUGCGUAGAUAUGCGGAGGAACACCGAUGGCGAAGGCAAUCCCCUGGACCUGUACUGACGCUCAUGCACGAAAGCGUGGGGAGCAAACAGGAUUAGAAACCCGGGUAGUCCC